AUUAAAAUAGGGACCUAAGUCAUAAAAAAGUCUAUAAUUAUUCAUUACAUCUUUGAAGUACAAAGAAACCUCUGUGAUUUUUCUAAGUAUAAUAAAGGAGGGUUGUCUCUUGUGUUAUUCUGGAUGAUCUUAGACAGAAAUGUCAGAAAGGUACAAGUUCUCCAUGUUAAAUUGCCAUUAGCCUUGGGGGGACGACAUAAAUUGUGCACAAGUUUGAAUUGGCCAGUUCAUCUUGGAUCGGUCUCGAAACAUGUGUAGGGAAGGGGACAGUUUAUUUAUUUUUACAAACAGCCAUCUGUCGUGGCAGAUUGCAAAAUGGCUACCCUCUAAAUAUGAUCUGAAUCCAGAGCAGGACACUACCCCAAAGAAAAAUACACUGGGGCUUAAAAACUUUCCAGAAUAACUUAAUGGCCUAAAUAUCACUUAUUGUACAUAGACAUUUGUUGUCAAAUUGACUAUUAAAACUCAAUUACAGUAAGCAUAUGUUUUACAAUAGCCAAAUUGCUACUAGUAUAUCGACCAGAUGCUUUUCCUGUGUGUUCCUUUCAGUUCAUCGUUUUUACGGUACAUCACCAAUCUGUUGAUGACCGGAACAGACAGCAGGAGAGAAAAAAAAAGAGUUCAUAGAGGAGAGUGCAGCUAGGACAAUUUUAAUAAGAAUUAAAUUGUUUAUAAUUGAAAUGAAUACAUUUAUUUUGACCUCAACUGCACAAUCAUUACUAAAAUGUCAAAUGUGAGUAUUUGCCACUGAAUGGAAAUACAUGUGUUAUCUGUGUAACUCUUAAAGGUUAAAGUUAUCAUGGUGUGAAAUAAUACACAAAUGCAAUACAUCUUCAUGAAGAACUAAUAAGAAACAGGCAGUCUAAUGCUCUUUACAUUCUUGUUUCCUUGUGCCCUAAAAUGUGCAGCCAUUUAUUUUCAUCAAUUGUUGAAAUCCAUGGAUAUCCUUUUUGAUUUGCCCAAUGCUGAGCUAAAUGAGAUACUGUAUCUUCAUGAAAUUACAGUUUUUAUGUGGACCUCACAAGCGGAACAAGAGGGUUUGGAUUACAGAGCUGUCAGUCAAUCACUCUGGUCUAGAUAUGGACCCACCAGGAAACGAGCAAACAGAUGGCUUGGUGUCUUGAGAAUGAAGCUUCCUCACCCACCCCCAACAAACCCCGAAAAUAAACCAUUGAUUUCACUGAAGCCACUUUGCAAAUAUUUGGACACAAGCUUCAUUUUUGGGGCAGGCAUCUGAUCCUGUGGGCCUAAAGCUGUUGAGGGGACUGGGUUUAUAGUCAAGCAGGUGUCCCCACCGACAUCUGUCUCAGUUCUCAGGGGGACCACCAGCAGAUCAGCAGCAACCUUCAGACAACAGAAGACGAGGACUGAUGAACUUUAUUCCCAUCUGAAAAGGUACAUUUUUUUUUUUACUCUACUAGGUGGUAAACUGUAUUUGAAUUGCAUUUUGGGCAGAGAGGAAGGGAUUUAGAUACCCCCCCAUCCCCCCCAAAAAAAAAAAAUUAUCCC
rnacentral:lncRNA from 1 species